AGUGCGCGCCGCUCCCCGCCCGCUUCCUUCCCGCCCCGCGCGCCGCCGCCAUCUUGAGUGCGGCGCGGCCGCCAUGCUGAGCGUGGCGCCUCGCUCAGCCGUGGAGUUAGGGGGGGUGCUGCACCGCCGGGGUUGUCGAGGCCUGUUUCCAGUGUCCCAGGAAGAACGUGGGCAACGGUGAUUACAAGCAGUGGAUCUCUACACACAGCCCAUGUUUUCCAAGGAGAGCAGGUCCACACACAUCUCCCAAGGAAAACUGACUUAAUGUGGGCCACGCAGGUCAUUCAGCCUUUGGGAAAGAUCGUGCAGCAGCAGGCAUGCAGACACUGCUCAAGCGUGGAACAGCAACAUCUGCCCAUGGACAAAGGGAGAGAACUAAAUGUUUAUAAACAGUGAUGGGAUCUUCCCUGUGCACCAAAGAACGCCAUCCCAUAGACGUGGAGACGUGGUUCUCCUCCUACGGUCCCAGGAUUAUCUUUUUCCCCAUGAGACACGGAUCAGCACUUCACUGCCGGCUCCCCAGAGCUGUGUGUGUCGGUCUGUGCUAAUGACAAGACUGGUCUGUUUUAACGAGCACGGUUAAAACACUGAUCUGUAGUUAUUAAAAAUAUGUCUCAGUAUGAAGUUAUAGCCAUGCCCUUUGCAAAAGCUACAAAGCUUCUGACCCAGUGGUUCACCCAGUCACGUGCAGAGCCCUGGGUGCUCACUGUCUCCUUCAAAGGUUGGUGAAAGGUACUCCAGAGAAGCAUGGCUGCUGCCUUCAAUUCCUUGCGAGGGGAUCUGCGCUGCUGCGGAGGAUUUUAGGAUUCCAGCUACCUAAGAAAGUUGAAAACUGCUAUUCUACCCAAUCUGAAAAAUGAUUUAGAUCUCCAAAGGCACCUGGUGCUUUUUCAUUUUAUUCUUGCAAGAGCUUAAUUAUGCAAGUGAUUCUAGUAACUGCUAACACUGAAGCUGACAAGAAUAAAA